AAAACAAUAAUCAUGAUGAGAUAUAAAGUGCAGUUUGUGAUAAUUAAU
rnacentral:guide_RNA from 1 species